ensembl:misc_RNA Y_RNA Y RNA
GGCUGGUCCGAUGGUAAUGAGUUAUCUCACUUGAUUGUUCACAGUCAGUUACAGAUUGAACUCCUUGUUCUACUACUUUCCCUCCUUUUCACUUCUACACUUGACUAGUCUGAA